AGGGCAAGUCUGGUGCCAGCAGCCGCGGUAAUUCCAGCUCCAAUAGCGUAUAUUAAAGUUGUUGCAGUUAAAAAGCUCGUAGUUGAACCUUGGGUCUGGCUGGCAGGUCCGCCUCACCGCGUGUACUUGUCCGGCCGGGCCUUCCUUCUGGAGAACCUCAUGCCCUUCACUGGGCGUGUUGGGGACCAGGACUUUUACUUUGAAAAAAUUAGAGUGUUCAAAGCAGGCCUUUGCUCGAAUACGUUAGCAUGGAAUAAUAGAAUAGGACGUGCGGUCCUAUUUUGUUGGUUUCUAGGACCGCCGUAAUGAUUAAUAGGGACAGUCGGGGGCAUCAGUAUUCAAUUGUCAGAGGUGAAAUUCUUGGAUUUAUUGAAGACUAACUACUGCGAAAGCAUUUGCCAAGGAUGUUUUCAUUAAUCAGUGAACGAAAGUUAGGGGAUCGAAGACGAUCAGAUACCGUCGUAGUCUUAACCGUAAACUAUGCCGACUAGGGAUC
rnacentral:rRNA from 1 species